UUUCCGUAGGUGAACCUGCGGAAGGAUCAUUACAGUAGUCACCCAGGUUGCCGCAAGGCCUCCUGGGUAACCUACCACCCUUUGUUUAUUACACUUUGUUGCUUUGGCAAGCCUGCCCUCGGGCUGCUGGCUCCGGCCGGCGAGCGCUUGCCAGAGGACCUAAACUCUGUUUGUCUAUACUGUCUGAGUACUAUAUAAUAGUUAAAACUUUCAACAACGGAUCUCUUGGUUCUG
rnacentral:misc_RNA from 1 species